AAAACUUUGUAUUGAUUAUAAGUUAGCUCAGGCAAGACUUCUAGCAUGGUAAUAAUAGUAUUUAAGAAACUAUAACCAGGAGAAAACUUUUUUAACCCAGCAAGAAACAUUAAACUAUAUUAGAAAUAAUAAUUUAAUUUAGCCUAAAUAAGUUGGACUAAUAUAGGUGCCAGCAGUCGCGGUCAUACCUAACAGCUUAGUUAACUCUUCUAGGCUAGCUUAAGAAAAUAAUUUUUAUAAGUAGGUGAAAUUAUUAUAAGAAUAAAUUUUAAUUUUCUAAUUUUUGGCUUAAGCUCUGAAGAUAAACUAGGAUUAGAUACCCUACUAUAUAGAGUAUAAAUUAUCGAGCCUAAGCACUAAGACUUUAACAGUUAAAACUUAAACUACAUGGCGGCAGUUGGAAAUUUCAGGGGAACUUGCCAAGUAAAUGAUAAUCCCCAAAAAAUUCUACUUUUAUUCAAAGUUUGUAUAUCGCCGUCUUCAGCAUUCAUUUAUGAUGAAUCCAAAAUGUUAAGAACAAAAAGACAGGUAAAGAUGCAACUUAUAUAGAAGUUUAGGUGAGUUACAAUAUUAAAUUUAUUUGAAAUUGUUUUGAAACAAAACAAAGAAACUGGACUUGAAAGUAAUAUAUAAAAAAAAUAUUUACUGAAUUUUUCAUCUAACUGUGUACAAAUCGCCCGUCGCUUUCGUUGAAAAAUGAAAUAAGUCGUAACACAGUAGGUGUACCGGAAGGUGUAUCU
rnacentral:ncRNA from 1 species